rnacentral:rRNA from 1 species
UGGGGAAUUUUGGACAAUGGGCGAAAGCCUGAUCCAGCAAUGCCGCGUGUGUGAAGAAGGCCUUCGGGUUGUAAAGCACUUUUGUCCGGAAAGAAAUCCUUGGCUCUAAUACAGUCGGGGGAUGACGGUACCGGAAGAAUAAGCACCGGCUAACUACGUGCCAGCAGCCGCGGUAAUACGUAGGGUGCAAGCGUUAAUCGGAAUUACUGGGCGUAAAGCGUGCGCAGGCGGUUUGCUAAGACCGAUGUGAAAUCCCCGGGCUCAACCUGGGAACUGCAUUGGUGACUGGCAGGCUAGAGUAUGGCAGAGGGGGGUAGAAUUCCACGUGUAGCAGUGAAAUGCGUAGAGAUGUGGAGGAAUACCGAUGGCGAAGGCAGCCCCCUGGGCCAAUACUGACGCUCAUGCACGAAAGCGUGGGGAGCAAACAGGAUUAGAUACCCUGGUAGUCCACGCCCAAACGAUGUCAACUAGUUGUUGGGAUCAUUCCUAGUAACGUGCUAACGCGUGAAGUGACCGCUGGGGAGUACGGUCGCAAGAUUAAAAUUCAAAUGAAUUGACGGGGUCAUAGCUGUUUCCU